CGUAGGUGGCAAGCGUUGUCCGGAUUUAUUGGGUUUAAAGGGUGCGUAGGCGGCCUAUUAAGUCAGUGCUGAAAUAUUCCGGCUUAACCGGGAGGUGGCAUUGAUACUGAUGGGCUAGAGUACAGAUGAGGUAGGCGGAAUUGACGGUGUAGCGGUGAAAUGCUUAGAUAUCGUCAAGAACACCUAUAGCGAAGGCAGCUUACUAGGCUGUAACUGACGCUGAGGCACGAAAGUGUGGGAUCAAACAGGAUU
rnacentral:rRNA from 1 species